rnacentral:rRNA from 1 species
AUUGAACGCUGGCGGCAGGCCUAACACAUGCAAGUCGAGCGAGCGGCGGACGGGUGAGUAAUGUCUGGGAAACUGCCUGAUGGAGGGGGUAUCUACUGGAAACGGUAGCUAAUACCGCAUACCAUCAGAUGUGCCCAGAUGGGAUUAGCUCGUAGGUGGGGUAACGGCUCACCUAGGCGACCAUCCCUAGCUGGUCUGAGAGGAUGACCGGCCACACGGGAACUGAGACACGGUCCAGACUCCUACGGGAGGCAGCAGUGGGGAAUAUUGCGCAAUGGGCGAAAGCCUGACGCAGCAACGCCGCGUGAGUGAAGAAGGCCUUCGGGUUGUAAAGCACUGUCAGCGGGGAAGCGUUACCCGAAGAAGAAGCACCGGCUAACUCCAUGCCAGCAGCCGCGGUAAUAC